GUAGGUGAACCUGCGGAAGGAUCAUUAACACGAUACUAACGUAUCAAACCAAAACGUGCUCUUGUUGUUGACCUCUGGUUAUAGUUAGAUUGAGUUAAAGCUUAGUGUGUUGAGGAUAAAGACACUAAGUGAUUGAUUGGGAAGGUUGCAAAGCCUUUCUAAUUGAGAAUUCUUUUUAAUUAUUUCCUUAGGUUCUUUUUUUUAAACCUUUUAUCCUCACAACCAAUAUUAACCAUAUUAACCCCCUUUACAAACAACUUUGUACUGACAACAUUUCUAACUCGAAAGGGUAAGGAAUUUAAAAAACGCUGUACAACUCUUAGCAAUGGAUAUCUUGGUUCUC
rnacentral:misc_RNA from 1 species